UGUCUUUUUGAAAAUAAUAUAAAGUCUAAUCUGCCCACUGAUUGGAUAUUGAAGGGCUGCAGUAUAUUGACUGUACAAAGGUAGCAUAAUCAUUAGUCAUUUAAUUGAUGACUUGUAUGAAAGAUUGGAUGAAAUAUGAACUGUCUUUUAUUUAAUUAUAAAAUUUAAUUUUUUUAUUAAAAAGUUAAAAUAUUUUAAAAAGACGAGAAGACCCUAUAGAGUUUUAUAAAUUAUUAAAUUGAGAUUAUAUUAAAAGUAAAUUUAAAAUUAAAUUUAUUUAUUUUGUUGGGGUGAUAAAAAAAUAUAAAAAACUUUUUUUAUUGAUAAACAUUUAUAAGUGGUUAAAUGAUCCAGUAAUAUUGAUUAUAAGAAAAAAUUACCUUAGGGAUAACAGCGUAAUUUUUUUUUUUAGUUCAAAUAAUAAAAAGAGUUUGCGACCUCGAUGUUGGAUUAAGAUAAAAUUUAAAUGCAGAAG
rnacentral:rRNA from 1 species